rnacentral:rRNA from 1 species
GCUGUGGAACUCCUACGGGAGGCAGCAGUGGGGAAUUUUGGACAAUGGGGGUAACCCUGAUCCAGCAAUGCCGCGUGAGUGAAGAAGGCCUUCGGGUUGUAAAGCUCUUUUGUCAGGGAAGAAACGGUAGUAGCUAAUAUCUAUUACUAAUGACGGUACCUGAAGAAUAAGCACCGGCUAACUACGUGCCAGCAGCCGCGGUAAUACGUAGGGUGCAAGCGUUAAUCGGAAUUACUGGGCGUAAAGCGUGCGCAGGCGGUUGUGUAAGUCAGAUGUGAAAUCCCCGGGCUCAACCUGGGAAUUGCAUUUGAGACUGCCCGGCUAGAGUGUGUCAGAGGGAGGUGGAAUUCCACGUGUAGCAGUGAAAUGCGUAGAUAUGUGGAGGAAUACCGAUGGCGAAGGCAGCCCCCUGGGAUAACACUGACGCUGAUGCACGAAAGCGUGGGGAGCAAACAGGAUUAGAUACCCGAGUAGUCCUACCACGU